rnacentral:tRNA from 9 species
GGUCCGUUGGUCAAGCGGUUAAGACGCCGCCCUCUCACGGCGGAAACAGGGGUUCGAUUCCCCUACGGACUG